UAAGCUGUGACUUUAGCCCCAGCGUUUCACAGAACAAAGGUCAUUCCCUCCCCAGGAAGCAUCGUGAGGACAACUCUUAAAGAAAAUUAAAACGUUUAUUCAGGUUGCUUUAUUUCUUCAGUACUUGGCACUCAGAAUAACAGAUAAUUUGAACAACAGCUGUAAUCUGCUGAGAUCUACUACGUGCCAGGACCAACGUGAAGGUAGAGCAAGCUCCUGUGACAGGAGGCGGGGCAAUGACGAGUGGCUGAAGGAAUGCAGGGAUUUGUUCCUCUCUAGCUCAAGAGAGAAAGGCUCAGGCCAUACACAGAGAAAGGAGAGCGAUGAAAACCUCCUGAGAAGGUAAGUAGAGAAGAAAUCUGAAGCUCACCUUGGCGGUUGCCUCUGCAGAAAACGGGGAGCAGGUUUCCUGUAAGAGUACUUCACGAAUUUUAGUUUAGUCCAGAGUUACCUAGAAGACUUGUUAAAAUAAAAAUUUUGCCUCUUUUCCCAGAAUUUCUAUUCUUUGGGGCCAGAGUGCAAACUGAGAAUUUGCCUUCCUAAGAAUCCCCGCAUGAUGCUAACGCUAUUGGUCCAAGCACCUCACUUUGCCCUGUAUCAACUGUGUUAGAGCCAUUCUAUAUAAUUUUUGGGAAAAUCAUUUCAGAAUUAAAUUAUGAUUAGUAGCGUCUAAGGCCCAAUGUCUUCUUGCCCACCAGCCAGCUCUGGCAAGCAGAAACAACUCCAUUUUGCCUCUGGUCACAAGUUGAGGCCUCAAUGGUCCCGUGAGGCUGCGACACUCAAGGGCAAGAGAACAUCGGCUCGAGACAGCUUGGUUCUUUGAGAAUUGAGUAGUAAUAAACGUGGGAGAAGGACAGACUCCUGAUUAGCCUGCUGUUUUGUCCCACCUACUGUUGUAAGAUUGCUUUGCCCAUCUCACUCUUCUCAUCGACAUGAGAUCCUCAUCAACGUAGGAUCACUGCCACCCUCGGAGUCCCCCCCCCCGCUCCUUUGGAUUAUUGAGUGCACCCAAUAAAGAGUGGCUAGCUUGGAGUGCCUUUGUCUGGGCCCACUCUGAGGUACUGACCU